GACAAGUAUCAGGUUUUCAAUAAAAAUAAAUGCCUAAUGAAAGAUUGUGCACGGUCUUUGGUAAAGCUACAAAAUUUUCACUUCUGUUGUUGUACUCACGACGUGUUGCUGGUUUUUUUUUAGCCUGUGCUUGCCCUCCCUUACUGUUCGUCGCCGUUCCUCCAAAAUGAUCGCGUGUCAAACCUCUAUUCCAUAAGAUAUUGCCAUUCGACAACGGAGGAUCAUCACGAUUACUACGUGCAGUUCGCUCUUGGAGUUCAUCGAAAACGAUUAUUUCUUAUUUAAUUUACAACAAAAUUCCUUUACCAAUAUUAUUGUAUCGGUUUACGUUUGAGUCUCUCAUUAAACCGUGUUUUUCUAAUAAUAAUUAUAUCUAUUUGUACUUAGAGUAUAUUACUUCAAUAACAACUAAAUUUUUUUAUGUGUGUGUGAUCAAGACAAUAAUAAAACAUUAAUUAAUAAAGAAACGUUAAUUUUUUUUUUUUUUUUUUAA